CUCAGGCAUAAAACACUGAACUGGUUGCAUGAACACAGCAGCCUCUAGUCUCCAGAUGAGAAGCUGACCUUACAUGGGAAUAUUCGCAACAUCAAACACGAAAACCAAUCUUCCCUCUCAGCUCCAACAAAAGCACAGUAUGAAAGGGAACUUCCACAGGCCGAGAAGAGAGAACAAAUGGAAGCUUCUCUGGCAAAGCAGUUGGUUUGCAGCUGAUGAUUUUGGAAGCUGCCUCCCUGCUGAGUCUCAGAACCACCUCUCCACCUGUCUGCUGGCCCCCUGGAAGACACCCACCAUUAACUGAAAACACUAUCGGUCCAAAGCCAGGUUCAAGGUCUCUACCUCCUCUCUUGACCUCCUGCCAACCUGUUCCUUGUCUAAUGUCCGCUAAGGCCACACCUCUCGUCAUCCACACUCCUGAGUUCCUUUCGACUUCUCCUCCUCCUGGUCUUUCCAUUCUAGUCUUUUUUUCCUGCUCUGAUACUGUGCCUGCACCAGGUCAGGCUUUCUUUACCAUCUUUCUUCAUACCUGGCUCAGUCUUCCGGCUGACUGUCCUGGGUCCGGGGAUUCCCUUCUGACAUUUACCCAGAAGACACCUGCCAAAUACAUCUUCCUGUCCGUACAUCACUGGAGCCCCCAGAGUGGCUCCCUAGUGCCUACUGGCUGAAUUCCUUAACCUCAUGUUUCAGGUCCUCUGCAUCUCUAGCAAACCUGUUGUUCCUGCUUAUUUCAAGCCACUUCCCUCUUUGUACACCUGAAAUGCUAGCAAACCAGCAUAUUGGUGAAGCGUUCAAAACAUCAUGCCCUUUUGCAAUUUACUUGGAUUUCCAUUUCUGUAUAUUUAAAUCCUGCUCAUGAUUGUUGGUCUAGCUGAAAUGUCACCUUUCCCACAAAGCCAAUCAUUCCUUCAUCAGCCAAUAUUUAUUAAGCAUUUAUUCUGUUACAAACACUCCUGAUCGUUUCGGCACACAGACACUCUUGUGAACAUAUUCAGAUCCCCCAUUAUGCUGUAAAUUUCUUAGAGCUGAUCUUUUAUUUAUUUUUAUAUCUUCAACACUGCCUAAUAAUGUGCCUUGCAAAUACUGGGUGUUCAAUAAUAUUUGUUGAA